rnacentral:rRNA from 1 species
CACUGGAAGUGAGACACGGUCCAGACUCCUACGGGAGGCAGCAGUGGGGAAUAUUGGACAAUGGGCGAAAGCCUGAUCCAGCCAUGCCGCGUGUGUAAAGAAGGUCUUCGGAUUGUAAAGCACUUUAAGUUGGGAGGAAGGGCAGUAAGCUAAUAUCUUGCUGUUUUGACGUUACCGACAGAAUAAGCACCGGCUAACUCUGUGCCAGCAGCCGCGGUAAUACAGAGGGUGCAAGCGUUAAUCGGAAUUACUGGGCGUAAAGCGCGCGUAGGUGGUUUGUUAAGUUGGAUGUGAAAGCCCCGGGCUCAACCUGGGAACUGCAUCCAAAACUGGCAAGCUAGAGUAUGGUAGAGGGUGGUGGAAUUUCCUGUGUAGCGGUGAAAUGCGUAGAUAUAGGAAGGAACACCAGUGGCGAAGGCGACCACCUGGACUGAUACUGACACUGAGGU